GUGUCACUUUGGCUGCACAUAUACUAAUUGCAAUGAUACAUGGAAAAUUAUCAUGAACCCUGAGUAAGAAUAACACACAAAUUUGUGAAGUGUUCUAUAUUUUA
ensembl:snRNA U6 U6 spliceosomal RNA